rnacentral:rRNA from 1 species
UACGGAGGGUGCGAGCGUUGUCCGGAAUCACUGGGCGUAAAGGGCGCGUAGGCGGCGCGGCAAGUCAGGGGUGAAAGCCCGAGGCUCAACUUCGGGUCGGCCUUUGAUACUUCCGCGCUUGAGUCGACUAGAGGCAGGUGGAAUUCCGGGUGUAGCGGUGGAAUGCGUAGAGAUCCGGAAGAACACCGGUGGCGAAGGCGGCCUGCUGGGGUCGAACUGACGCUGAUGCGCGACAGCGUGGGGAGCAAACAGGG